GCCCGAAGGUGACCCUCCAGGGUGGGGAU
rnacentral:sRNA from 1 species